UAGGCAGAUGCUUGAAGCCCCUUGAGCACUCUUGAUGUCCAAAGGUGAGUGCUGCGUGUUUACAAUGUCUAGAAUUUCUUUUCUAGCCUGGAAACUUCAGGGAACACAGAUUUCCAUGAGCAGAAAGCUGAAGACCUGAACUGAUCUUGAAACUUCUACUGUGGUGCCCUUCAAACCAUUCUCCACACUUCAGCAGGAAGGAUCCUGUAAAAACCCAAAUGUUAUCCCCAUAUCCUUACUCUACUUAAAACACUUCCAGGCUAAACUCCUUAACAAGGCUUAAAAGGCCAUGCCUGGCCUCCCCAGCCUCCUCUCCAGCUUCAGCUCGAUCCUACUCUCCCUGCUCUCAGAGCCAGGCCUCCCUGGCCUUGUCCCCAGGCUUCAGGUGAUCCACACCCGUCCUGGCCCCAGAGCUGCUAGCCCAGAGCCCUUCUGCUCUUCUGACAUCCUUUGCCUCCUGUCCACUCCUUUUCCUUAAGAUUUCAGCUCGAAAGGCACUCCUCAACAAAGUCACUCCUUCGACCAGGUCAGUGCCCUUGAAGUCACAGCACCCUGCCCCUUUACUUCACUCACCACAUGAAUCUGGCCACUUACAGAUGUCUGUGUGUGCGACUGGUUUGUGUGAGUGCUGACCACCUGUAAGCUCCCUGUGGCUAGGAACAUGUUGCUGCAAUUGUUACUCCCCAAUGUCCAGCCUACCCGGUACAUUGUAGGUGCUCAGUAAGUGCUACAUGAAUGAAGGAGUGAAUACGUGAACAAAUAAAGGAAGGAAGGAAUAAACGAAGCCAUUUGGUCUCUUAUCAAGUACCGUAUCCUUUUUUCCAUAUAUCUGUUGAACCCCUAAUAAUCCCACUACUGCAUUAUAUCGUUGUGAGGUAAGGUGUCACCUCCAUAAAGAGCUUUGCUGCUGGAGUUAGAAAGCCUUAGAUUCAAAUCUCUAAUCUCCCGCCUACCUACCGUGUGACCUCAGGCCAAUAACUGAAUUCCUUCUGAAUUCAGUUUUAUCACCUAUAUAUUGGAAUUAUAAAAAUACCUAACUCACUGAGUUGUGUAAACUACAUAAGAUGCCCUCAGCCACGUGGAUGAAUAACAGUAACGUUCACUGAGCUCUUGCCCUUAGCCAAGAAUGUUCUAAGGUGUUUAAAAUGUAUCAGCCCAUUUUAUCCCCCGCAACCUGAUGAGGUAGGUGGUUGUAGCUUUUCCACGUUGCAGAUGAGGAAACUGAGGCCCAGAGGAGCACGAGAGGGCACAGUUGCUAAGUAGGUUCUGACUUCACCUGCCUGCUUUCUGAGCCCAACACCCUAGGUCUCCUCCCGGCCCUGCCUCUCACAUAGAGAAUGCUCACCGAAGAAAGCUGCCGUUUACUUUAUAGAAUCGGAAAAAGCCACAAAACAAUGAGGAUGAGCAACAGCCACAGUUUCACGUUUCACUUCUCUCUUCAGUCCGGAAAUCUGCAUGAGCGUGGAAACGGCUUCAGGGAAUUCCAAGAAAAUGCUCUCGCUGCAGAGGUGACCUUCCCAGGAGGGAGACUGACCUUGGCUCACCCUCUUUGGCCACACCCUGCCCUAAGCUGUCCAGAUGAGGUCCAGGAAGGGUCUGGGACAGGAGACAGCCGUGGCUUCUCCACUCAGUAUUCAGCCUCAGGGAACUGGAUUACUCCUCAGAAACAAGCGGAAGGAACUCAGCAGUCAAGCAGGAAUGCCUGUCGGCAGGGCGUCUUCUGGACAGUGACACUGGUUCCUUCCUCCUUGGAGUGAAACCUGCCAUUUCCCAACGAGGGCACCAGACCCCGACUCCUACGGUCUCAGCCGUAUACGCCGCUCACCACGACUGAGUCUGCACGUUGGAAAAUGCUGAGCACAGGGUGUGGAGCGCGGUGGGUCUUUCAUAAAUGCCAGCCUCCUUUCCCUUACUUUCCCCUGACAAAUAUCACGACUUUGUUUUAUUGAAAGUAGACAUCUCAAAAUACAAGAAUAUCACCCAUUUUGAGAAACGGAGCAGAGCUUCCUUCGAAGUCGGCUGUAUUGAAUGAAAUGACCAGUGUCUGACUUUGUUGAUGAGGGAGUAGGUGCUGCGGUUCAAGGUGCCCCGGCCUCUCUUGGCCCCUUUCAAAGGUUUCCUGAUGUUUACCCCAGUGAUUUAGACAGGUAGCCGAAAGCGAUUUCUCAGCAACAAAGAACUGUCCUGUCAAGGGGCUUAUUGCUUGUUCACUGCUUUCUAAUAAAACAUCCGGUGUGGAGGCUUAGAUGCCCUGAGGUACAGAGAGAGAAUUCCCCUUAUAAGGGAAAGGACUCUGGUGAUCAACAGCAGGGUCAAAAGAAUGCCAGCUCAUCGGAUUCAAGCUUCAUCGGGGGCCUCCUGGAAAGCCUGGCCCGUGGCCGUGGUUUUGUUCUUCUGUUUCUUACUGAGAACGUGUUUCCCAACUGUAUGCAGGAGUGGACGCGCUCAGAUGUACGAAGCACUUCCACCCUAUGGGCCUGGAUUACAUGAAGCAAGGCCAUGGUGCAGAGUCCUCGCCAGGUUGGGAGCCUCAGACUUAUGAAUUCAGCACAAUGGGACUGCCAGUUACCCAGAUGGGAUGCUGACACACCCAGGAGCUCAGACCCAGAGCAGGCCUGGCAGCCCCGCCCCUGGGUGGCCACUACCCAACCUGCCUGCCUCCCCUGAGGGGGCACUGGUGGCCAUCUGGCAGCUCCCUCUGAGCUGUCACCCAGUCUGUUUUGUCUUUUGUCUGGAUGUGACAUGACAACGUGUUAAUUAAAAAGUAGUUAAGCCAAAAUGAAAAGGCAAUCCAAAACCUGGGGAAAUAUUAUAAUACAUAUGAGAAAAAAGACAACUCAAUAAAGAAAGACAGUACAAUGAACACACAUACGCGGUUUAUUAAAAAGGAGUACAAAUGGCCAACAGCAUACUUUUAAGAUAGUCAACCUCACUAAUAAUCAAAGAAAUUCACACUGAAACAAGAUCCUCGGGAGUAGAACAGAAGAGGUAAGUAUUGCAGGAGACUGACAGAUAACAAAGACAGAAAACACAGAGUGGGCCUGGGUGUGGCAGCCAGUGUCCAUCUACCGCUGGAGAUAGUGGAAAGGCAUGACUUUUCUGAAAGGAAAUGUGCAGCAUGUUUUUAAAAUGCAGACACAGUGGGAUCCACAAAUUACACUUCUAGGAAUUUAUCUUAAAGAAGCAACUGGACAAGUUGCAAGCAACAACACAACCACGUGUGUCUCAGCCUUGGUUACAAUGUGGAAAGGAGAAGAACACACAUAUCCAGUA